rnacentral:tRNA from 1 species
CCCCGCGUAGCCCAACAGGAGAGGCAUCCGGUUCAGAACCGGACCAGUGCGCGUGCAAAUCGUGCCGCGGGGACCA